GCUGGCGGCGUGCUUAACACAUGCAAGUCGAACGCUGAAGCCUGGUGCUUGCACCGGGUGGAUGAGUGGCGAACGGGUGAGUAAUACGUGAGUGACCUGCCUUUGACUCUGGGAUAAGCCUGGGAAACUGGGUCUAAUACCGGAUGCGACUACUGCCCGCAUGGGCUGGUGGUGGAAAGGGUUAUGUACUGGUCUUAGAUGGGCUCACGGCCUAUCAGCUGGUUGGUGGGGUAAUGGCCUACCAAGGCGACGACGGGUAGCCGGCCUGAGAGGGUGACCGGCCACACUGGGACUGAGACACGGCCCAGACUCCUACGGGAGGCAGCAGUGGGGAAUAUUGCACAAUGGGCGCAAGCCUGAUGCAGCGACGCCGCGUGAGGGAUGACGGCCUUCGGGUUGUAAACCUCUUUCAGCAGGGAAGAAGCGGAAGUGACGGUACCUGCAGAAGAAGCGCCGGCUAACUACGUGCCAGCAGCCGCGGUAAUACGUAGGGCGCAAGCGUUGUCCGGAAUUAUUGGGCGUAAAGAGCUCGUAGGCGGCUUGUCGCGUCUGCUGUGAAAGCCCGGGGCUUAACUCCGGGUGUGCAGUGGGUACGGGCAGGCUAGAGUGCAGUAGGGGUAACUGGAAUUCCUGGUGUAGCGGUGAAAUGCGCAGAUAUCAGGAGGAACACCGAUGGCGAAGGCA
rnacentral:rRNA from 1 species